AUUGAACGCUGGCGGCAUGCUUUACACAUGCAAGUCGAACGGUAACAGCACUUCGGUGGCUGACGAGUGGCGAACGGGUGAGUAAUACAUCGGAACGUGCCUAGUAGUGGGGGAUAACUACUCGAAAGAGUAGCUAAUACCGCAUGAGAUCUAAGGAUGAAAGUAGGGGACCUUCGGGCCUUGCGCUACUAGAGCGGCUGAUGGCAGAUUAGGUAGUUGGUGGGAUAAAAGCUUACCAAGCCGACGAUCUGUAGCUGGUCUGAGAGGACGACCAGCCACACUGGGACUGAGACACGGCCCAGACUCCUACGGGAGGCAGCAGUGGGGAAUUUUGGACAAUGGGCGCAAGCCUGAUCCAGCAAUGCCGCGUGCAGGAUGAAGGCCUUCGGGUUGUAAACUGCUUUUGUACGGAACGAAAAGCCCUCUUCUAAUACAGGAGGGUCAUGACGGUACCGUAAGAAUAAGCACCGGCUAACUACGUG
rnacentral:rRNA from 1 species